rnacentral:rRNA from 1 species
CCUACGGGUGGCAGCAGUAGGGAAUAUUGCGCAAUGGGGGAAACCCUGAAGCAGCAACGCCGCGUGGAGGAGGAGGGUUUUCGGAUGGUAAACUCCGUUUGUUAGAGAGGAUAAUGACGGUAUCUAACGAAUAAGCACCGGCUAACUCCGUGCCAGCAGCCGCGGUAAUACGGAGGGUGCAAGCGUUACUCGGAAUCACUGGGCGUAAAGAGCGCGUAGGCGGGAUGUCAAGUCAGAUGUGAAAGCCUAUGGCUUAACCAUAGAACUGCAUUUGAUACUGUUAUUCUAGAGUAUGGGAGAGGUAGGUGGAAUUCUUGGUGUAGCGGUAAAAUCCGUAGAGAUCAAGAGGAAUACUCAUUGCGAAGGCGAUCUGCUAGAACAUAACUGACGCUGAUGCGCGAAAGCGUGGGUAGCAAACAGGAUUAGAUACCCGAGUAGUC